AAUUGGUUCUGGGUUGGUGUUUAACCAUUUUGAGUUUUCUUUAGAAAGAUGGUAUUAUUAUUCCCUGAAUAAUAAAAUCAACCAGUAAGUGAGUGAAUCCAUAAAUCCAUAAAUAUGUGUAGUGGAGGAUUGGGAGAUUGUACCAGGAAACAAAUAAAGUAUGUUAAAUUCUACACAAAUAAGUCCAAUAAAAAGGUGAUCAUGGCUCCCCCUACAUAGGUAGCAAAUAAAGUCAGACGUCUCUAAUUGGUAAUUUUUAUUUUAUUUUGUGUUGAGCAAGGAAUUCAAUAGUAUUCCUAUUAUUUAGUAGAAAUUUAAUUAAGUAAGAGAUACCAUCCUUGGGAAGAUGAUGAGAAUGUGAUAUGAAAUAGAGCUUCUGGUUAACUAGUCCUCUUCACAAAUUUCGUAAGUUUAAAAAAGAGAGUUCUGCUUUCACUGUGUUUGCAAAUUGUCUUCCCUCCCCCGUUUUCCCUUUGUUUGUAGAAUGAACACAAAGCUGAUUUAAUCAUUCUGUAAUCCUCAAGACCUGGAUGUUAAUUCUGGGACUAAGAAGUGUAGAAACUGAUAGUGAACAAUAGCACUGCUGACUCAAUCAUUUAAUAAGAGUUAUUAUAGUCAGCCAGGAGCAUGAAGACUAAUAUAAAAUGAGCACAAUCUACUAGAUUUGAUUAUUAUCUCAUGGUGAAGAUCUUGCCUUUUAUCUCUUUGGGUAAAGAGAGAAGAGAUCAAUCCAUUGUCCAAUGAAGAAGAUCUUGACUGUUACUUCUGUGGAAUGAAGACAAUGGUUGAUUUAAUUAGUCUCUACUGAUGAAGAUCUUGGCUGUUAUCUUUGUGGAAUGGAUGCAUGAUGAAUUAAUUAUGGAGUGUAGAAACUUAUGUAAGUAACAGUCAAGAAUGGAUGCUCCCAGCCAGUUUAAGCAUCUCCAUGGUCUUGAGCUCUCUGGUUGCCUAGGAGCCUAGAGAUCAAUAAUGGAUGCACUUGAGCUGAUUCCCUGUGGUUGGCUCCAUUGUUAGGAACACAGACACGAAUAGUGGCCACACCAAGCUGAUUAAAGCAUCUUCCGUGAUUAUGAGCUCUAUAUGUAGGAGAUGGAGACCAGUAAAGGAUGCCCUGGAGCUGAUUUCAGGAUUCUAUCAUGGUCACAAGAUGUCUGCUUGUCUAUGUGUUUGGUGCAUUGAAGGAAUGCACACACCCAAGGUGGUUUAAGUAGUAUGCCUUGGCCAGUGAUCUCUACAUUUGCCUGUAGGAACAUGGAACCAACUUCUGCUCUGUACUCCUCAGAAUGGGUGCAUGACUUCAGUGCGUUGAAGCAUCUUCCAUGGUCAUGAGCUCUGUGGUUGCCUCUUGGUGUAAUGAGCACAGAGACCAAUAAUGGAUAAACUUGAACUUACAUAGUCAUUUGGCCGUGAUCAGGUGCUAAUGGAUGCCCCUGUGUGUAAGAGCAUGGAGAACAAUAAUGGAACUCCAAGCUGAUUGGCCGUGGUCAAGAUGGUCUUGUUGCUUCUGUGUUGGAAAGAGAGCAAGGACAUCCUCAAGCUGGUUGAAGAUUUCUUUUCUU